UAGAAUGUUCUAAAUUGGAAUCAAUAUUUAGACAUUUUGGUUUUAUUUUAUCGAAAACCAAGCGAUCUAAUAACUGCGAUUUCAUUGCUAUAUAUAGACUUGAACAACCAAAUAAGCAAGAACUUUAUAAAGACAAGAACUUUAUAAACCCUAGUAACACAGUGCAUUGGCUAAGUAUUGGCUUACAUUGGCUAAAUAUUGGUUAUAUUGGUAGUACGUUGGCCAAUAUUUUCCAAUGGAUAGCCAAUAUUGGUUACUAAAUAAAUGCAAAUAUAUUACCAAUAUUGCAGUGCCAUAACAACACCAAUAUUGGUUAUAAAAUAAAUGUCAAUAUGCUACCAAUAUUGCAAUGCCAUGACGAUACCAAUAUUGAUUACAAAAUAAAUAUAAAUAUGUUGCCAAUAUUGCAGUGCCAUGACGACACCAAUAUUGGUUAUAAAAUAAAUGUCAACAUGCUACCAAUAUUGCAUAUGUUGCUCAUUGUGUGUGAAUUAAUUUUAUAUUCAACAUAAUUUUUAUAUAUUGCGGUACUUUUUCUGUAGUUAAUUAAAUCAUAUUAUUUUUGGAAAACCUGCGUUUUUAUUAAAUCAGUAAAUCGAUCUGAUGUGCAAUAAAUCACAAAUGUUGCAGUAAAAAAUAGGUUUCUUUCUAGGAUUAUAUAUAUGCAGAUAGUAAUAAAUUUUAUGCGCUGAUUAAAAUAUUAGAUUUAUAGCUUUAAUUAAUAUAUAUAGAUAUAAUAUAUCACUCUUGCACGUAGGACGCUGUAAUGCUUGCUAUGUAAUAAAAAGCGACGCGAUAGUCAAUUUUUUGCUUUUAUGGAAAAGUUGGAAGGUGAUUGGCUAUCGCAUCUUUUGUUGCGCGACAAGCAACAUCCUAUCUGCAGAAGCCAUUAGAAGAGAUUCGUUUCGUGCUAUGUAAGCUACCUAACCACAAAUCCGAAACUAUAGUACAACGUGGUUUUUGUCUCAUUGAAAUUCAAGAAGAAAAAGAAAUUGUGAUGAGAAAUUCGUACUCUUUUUAUAUACUUGUUAUAUAAUAAACGAGUGUGAGUUCGUUACCGUCCUUAAACGCGAGUGAAUGUGUUCGUUUUUACAUCCUUUGUUCAGACUAAAAAUUUUUGUGCUGCUAACAUUUAUUUGUCCAACUGGUCUAUAAGGUGUAAUUAUUAAAAAGAAAAAGUAAAUGUAUAAAAGAAAUUAUUCCAUAAGUCUUAACAUCAGUUACUCGUUCGCAUUAAAUAGGAACGAGAUGAAUUGAUAUUUCAUGAAAGAGGUUAUUUUGAUUUUUGAUCAAAUUUUUACAUUUGCUUGCCUGAAAAAUUCGGAGAGGACUCGCAAUUUUGCAGCCAAGAUUAUUGCGCUACUUUCUUUGAAUUUUAUCCAUUUAUUUU